GGACCCGCACAAGCGGUGGAGCAUGUGGUUUAAUUCGAUGCAACGCGAAGAACCUUACCUGGUCUUGACAUCCUGUGAACUUUCUAGAGAUAGAUUGGUGCCUUCGGGAACACAGUGACAGGUGCUGCACGGCUGUCGUCAGCUCGUGUUGUGAAAUGUUGGGUUAAGUCCCGCAACGAGCGCAACCCCUAUUGAUAGUUACCAUCAUUAAGUUGGGUACUUUAUUGAGACUGCCGCUGACAAGGCGGAGGAAGGUGGGGACGACGUCAAGUCAUCAUGGCCCUUAUGACCAGGGCUACACACGUGCUACAAUGGGUAUUACAGAGGGCUGCAAAGGGCGACCUGGAGCUAAACUCACAAAAGUACUCUUAGUCCGGAUUGCAGUCUGCAACUCGACUGCAUGAAGUCGGAAUCGCUAGUAAUCG
rnacentral:rRNA from 1 species